rnacentral:rRNA from 1 species
AGCGAACGCUGGCGGCAGGCUUAACACAUGCAAGUCGAGCGCCCGCAAGGGAGCGGCAGACGGGUGAGUAACACGUGGGAACGUGCCUUUUGGUUCGGAACAACCCAGGGAAACUUGGGCUAAUACCGGAUAAGCCCUUACGGGGAAAGAUUUAUCGCCAAAAGAUCGGCCCGCGUCUGAUUAGCUAGUUGGUGGGGUAAUGGCCCACCAAGGCUACGAUCAGUAGCUGGUCUGAGAGGANGAUCAGCCACAUUGGGACUGAGACACGGCCCAAACU